GAUGAACGCUGGCGGCGUGCCUAAUACAUGCAAGUCGAGCGAACAGACUAGGAGCUUGCUCCUCUGACGUUAGCGGCGGACGGGUGAGUAACACGUGGAUAACCUACCUAUAAGACUGGGAUAACUUCGGGAAACCGGAGCUAAUACCGGAUAAUAUAUUGAACCGCAUGGUUCAAUAGUGAAAGACGGUUUUGCUGUCACUUAUAGAUGGAUCCGCGCCGCAUUAGCUAGUUGGUAAGGUAACGGCUUACCAAGGCAACGAUGCGUAGCCGACCUGAGAGGGUGAUCGGCCACACUGGAACUGAGACACGGUCCAGACUCCUACGGGAGGCAGCAGUAUGGAAUCUUCCGCAAUGGGCGAAAGCCUGACGGAGCAACGCCGCGUGAGUGAUGAAGGUCUUCGGAUCGUAAAACUCUGUUAUUAGGGAAGAACAAAUGUGUAAGUAACUAUGCACGUCUUGACGGUACCUAAUCAGAAAGCCACGGCUAACUACGUG
rnacentral:rRNA from 1 species